UGUGGCUCAGAGGUAGAGCGCUUGCCUAGCAGGUGAGAGGGCCUGGGUUCGAUCCUCAGCA
rnacentral:tRNA from 1 species